AUGGGACAAGGGGAGAAAGAUUCAGCUGAUAACUUGGUCUCUCCAUCUGAUGAUAGGAAUGAGCUGCAAGUGGAAGAUCUACGUGUGAAGGAAAGAUGCUUUGAGCAGAGAGAAGCUCUUCCUGGGGAGCCUCGCUGUGUUAUAUGUGGUCGAUACGGGGAAUAUAUAUGUGAUCAGACUGAUGAUGAUAUCUGUAGUGUGGAAUGCAAGACUGCUCUUCUUGCUAGAAUUGCUGCUGAAACAAAGAUACCAGUAAAAGCACCAGCACGCGUAAAAGUUCCGUUUGGUGAUGAGAGCUUCUGUGUCCGAGACAAUAAUUUUCCCGAUAUACCGAGUUUGCAUGCCAGCCAGAUCGCUUCACUGAGAAAUAAACUUGACAUUUGUGUCAAGGGUGAGGCAAUUCCUGAUCCAAUCAUGUGUUUCUCUUCCUGUGGUCUUCCUGAGAAGCUUGUGCACAAUCUUGAUGCUGCAGGGUAUACCAUGCCUACUCCGGUGCAGAUGCAAGUCAUCCCUGCAUCAAUAAGUAAUAGAAGCCUACUUGUCUCUGCAGAUACUGGUUCAGGGAAAACAGCUUCUUUUCUAGUUCCUAUAAUUGCACAUUGUUCACGGAGAGAGCUGCAGCAAUCUGAAAGCAAGCGUGGGCCCUUGGCUAUAGUCCUUGCUCCAACUAGGGAGCUAUGCCUACAGGUGGAGGAUCAAGCAAAAGUUCUUGGAAAGGGUUUACCAUUUAAAACUGCUCUAGUUGUUGGUGGAGAUCCCUUGGCUCAGCAAAUAUAUAGAAUUGAAAAUGGUGUCGAGUUAAUUGUGGGCACCCCAGGAAGACUAAUUGAUCUUCUGAUGAAACACAAUGUUGACCUUACAGAUGUGUCUGUGUUUGUUCUGGAUGAAGUGGACUGCCUGCUAGAGAGAGGAUUCAGAGAUCAGGCCAUGCAGAUCUUUCGUGCACUCUCAUGUCCACAGGUUAUGAUGUUUUCAGCAACAAUACAUCCAGAAAUUGAGAAAUUGUCAAACUCACUGUUGAACAACAUGAUACAUAUUUCUUGUGGGAACCCAGGUAAACCAAACAAAUCAGUUAGACAAGUGGUAAUUUGGGUGGAGUCUAAGCAGAAGAAGCAGAAGAUUUUCGAGAUAAUAAAAAGUAAGCAGCACUUUAAACCUCCUGCUGUUGUAUUUGUGAGUUCUAGAGUUGGUGCCGAUCUCUUGUCUGAAGCCAUUACUGCUGCUACUGGGUUGGAGGUUAUUUCUAUUCAUGGCGAGAAAACAAUGAAAGAGAGAAGAGAAAGAUUGAGACGGUUUCUCACAGGUGAAGUAUCUGUUGUUGUUUGUACAGGGGUCUUGGGACGUGGAAUGGAUCUUGUGAAAGUACAUCAAGUGAUUUUGUUUGACAUGCCAAAUUCCAUUGAUGAAUAUAUUCACCAAGUUGGAAGAGCGUCUCGGAUGGGUAAGGAGGGCGUGGCUAUUGUCUUUGUGAAUGAGGAAGAUAGGAAACUUUUUGGAGAGCUUGCUCAGGUUCUGAAGACUGCAGGAGCUCCAAUUCCUCGAGAACUCUCUAAUUCAAAAUUCACCAGCAGUGUUUCUCUUGGCACUGACAGGAAGAGAAAACUGAGUUCUCGGGCACAUUCUUGA
rnacentral:rRNA from 1 species